GACAGAGGGUGCAAACGUUUGUUCGGAAUUACUGGGCGUAAAGCGUGUGUAGGCGGUGAGGUAAGUCGGAUGUGAAAGCCCAGGGCUCAACCCUGGAAGUGCACUCGAUACUGCUUCGCUUGAGUACUGGAGAGGUUGGUGGAAUUCUCGGUGUAGAGGUGAAAUUCGUAGAUAUCGAGAGGAACAUCUGUGGCGAAGGCGGCCAACUGGACAGAUACUGACGCUGAGACACGAAAGCGUGGGGAGCAAACAGG
rnacentral:rRNA from 1 species